UACGUAGGGUCCGAGCGUUGUCCGGAAUUAUUGGGCGUAAAGGGCUCGUAGGCGGUCCGUCACGUCGGGAGUGAAAACUCGGAGCUCAACUCCGAGCCUGCUUCCGAUACGGGCAGACUAGAGGUAGGCAGGGGAGAGCGGAACUCCUGGUGUAGCGGUGGAAUGCGCAGAUAUCAGGAAGAACACCGGUGACGAAGGCGGCUCUCUGGGCCUUACCUGACGCUGAGGAGCGAAAGCGUGGGUAGCGAACAGG
rnacentral:rRNA from 1 species